CGAGAAAGGCAGCGGCAGAGCCGCAUCUUCAAUGCGCGCCACCGUACUAUGGGGGUGGACGUAGAAGCCCUGAAGAGUCAAGCAGAGGAGCGGAAGCGGAACGAGGAAAAGGAGAAGCGCCGGGAUGAGAGCUAUGACGCCGAGCGGGUGCUGUGCGACCGGGUGGCCCAGAUGCUGGAGGUGGAGGAGCAACAGCAGAGCCGGCGCCUUCGCCAGGCCCUGCAGGAGUUCUGGGAGCGGGAGCAGGCCGCCCACAC